rnacentral:rRNA from 1 species
CGGACUGUAGGCUGCAACUCGCCUACACGAAGCUGGAAUCGCUAGUAAUCGCGGAUCAGCACGCCGCGGUGAAUACGUUCCCGGGCCUUGUACACACCGCCCGUCACACCAUGAGAGUCUGUAACACCCAAAGCCGGUGGGAUAACCUUUAUAGGAGUCAGCCGUCUAAGGUAGGACAGAUGAUUAGGGUGAAGUCGUAACAAGGUAUC